UCUAGGGUUUCCUCCUUUAUUCCUAACGAAAACCUCUCACAUUUCCCGUGUCCUCUGCCCUAGGCGUCUGCGGCGCUCUGACCCAGAGCUCUGGAGUCCGUGGUUCUGGAGUGGAGGAUUCUGGAAUCCCUGAUUCUCUUAAGAGGAUGCAAGGAGCUUCUGUGUUGUUUCAUGUGAUCAGAAAUCGAGAAUUACCCCCAGAAGUCGAGCUGGAGAAGAUGUCUUGGGGCAUUGCAUUAGGGUCCAACUGGACAGCCAUACUGCAGGUCAUUCCUGGGUCAGAUGUUCCAGAAUGGCUCAACUUCCAGGACAAGUUUGAGAAGAGGGUCCAUGUCCCCAACACAACGACCCUGAGGAUUGACAACUUGACCCUUGAGGACAGCGGGCUGUACCGGGCUCGAGUCAGCUACAGUAACGGAACACAAACUGACCAGGAUUUCCACCUGACGGUCUAUGAGCCCGUGCCCCUUCCCCAGAUCCGGGCCACGGUUCCGUCCCUCACACCAGGCUGGUGCAACGUCACUGUGGAGUGUGACACCACGCGAAACAGGGAGGGCCUGACCAUGGAGUGUGACACCACGGGAACCAGGGAGGGCCUGACCGUGUCCUGGGAGAGCGAGGGCCUCCUCAGGGAGCUGGAGCAGAGACCGGCCCCACGACCAGCGCCCAACCCCUGGACCCUGGCUGUGACCCUGCCCCUGAGCCAGCCCAACGCCAGCCUCACCUGUGUGGUCAGCAACCAGGUGGACCAGAAAACUGCCACCAGGGUCCUUGGGGACAUCUGUGGCCAUGAAACAGGUCUACAUGGACAGGUCACUGCUGCCCUAUUACGAAACAUCCUAGGAUCUGUUGUGAUCGUGCUGCUGAUCCUGGGAGCUGGGCUGUAUCUUUGGAAGACACGUGGGGAGAAGAAGAACGUGGACUCUGGGAGAGGCAGGUUGCACUUCUCCUUCCUGAGCCCAGACCCCUCCCUCCCCCACUCUUCCUGGAGCUCGCUCUCUCCUGCAUUUUGCGGCUCAGGGAAUGUCCCGCAGGAGGCUGGCUGCUGUGGCCAUGGCCGUGAGGUCAUGGAGGGGGAGGGUCCAGGUCUCCAGGCUCAGACUCCAGCUCCGUCUGUGCAUGACUCAGGUGCAGGAUCACAGGAGGACCACAGGGACCCGGAUGCUGGCAUCCACUACGCAGAGCUGAGCCAGCAAGAGUCUGGAGACAGGAGGGACAGGGGUAGGGGUGCCCCUGAUCUAGAAGAGGAGAGCCCUCUCACCACUGUCUACAGUGAGGUCCGCAGGCCAGGCCAGGCCAUGAGGAGGAUUUAAUGGGAAGAAGCAGGAGAAUCUCGCCCUCCGGAAACACCUGUCUCGUGAGCAUGACGCCUGCAGCUCGGGUCCUGCCUCCUCCACCUCUGAGGCUCUGAGCAGGGACUGGAUGGAUCCACCGUCAGUUAUUUCUGUGCUAAAUCGUUCUGCACAAGGUCACCGUGAGGCACACACAGGGGUAGUUCAAGGGGGAAACUGAGUAAACAAACCUGUUCCAGAACCGCUCAGCCUCAGCUACGUGUCAACCCCAGACGGCCCCGCUCUGCCCCUGGUCUCUACGACAUCCAACUGCCUUUCAGACCCGUAGCCCCUGGGACGAGCCCUGGUGAAUUCCCAAUAUCCCGCCUGGACCGUCUUGAACACCACCCAGCGGUCAGUCCCGUGCUGAGAGCUAUUCACGGACCCUGUGAAUUCGUAACCGUGAGCGCUGGCUGAGUGCCGCUCUGUGACUCGCACUGUUCUGACCACUCUGCUCGCUGUUAACUCACUGGGUCCUCGGGGACUCUCUGUGAAGGGAAUUUGAAUGGCUCCAUGAUGCAGAAGACAAAAUCUGGGUGGAGGGGACCUGAGAUGUCCCUAAAUCUCUCAGUGGAUCUCAUUCCUUCUACCGCGUCCCCAUCCAGGUGGAGUGGAGAGGGACCCUCGUGUCUGGCACCUCUACUAUCUCUGCCAUCUCUCUCCCUUCUGAACUUCCAGUCGUGGGCGUUAGUGGGAUAGACCAGACCCUGGGUCCUGCUCGACUCUCCUCCAGGGGAGCCUCUCCAAGCCUGUCGGGUUCCUGCUUUCCUGAUUUCUUUGCCAAAGUGAGCAGAUAGAGCUUGUGUGAGGAGCUCCCUCUCCUCUUCUCGCUUCCCUUUCUCAGCUGCUCCCUGCGCUGCUCACAAGUGCUGCCCGUGCUCUGGGGUGUCCUGCGUCUCAGGGUCAUGUCUCCCUCACUAGCCUGCAGGCAGCCCGAGGCCAGAAGCUUCGCCUUGUUCUCCGUCCCAUCCCCUGUGUCGCGGACAGAGCUGCUUCCUGGUGGCUGUUCAGUAGCUGUUGCUGGAAGAUGAGAGACGUUUGCUCAGAAAUCAUUUGUCCCUCAUCUGGGCUGCAGGAGAGCCCACCCAAGCCCCCUGUGAGAUCUCCUGAAGUGACAUCACUGUCCUUGCAGACGACCUGCUCAGAGCUGCCCACUGGUCCUGCAAGACAAGCUGCCAGGGUCUCCUGUGAUCGGACCCGCUCCGUGUGCAUCCAGCCGCGGGAGCUCAGCUCGGUUGCGAUCAUAGCUGCCAGUGAUGUGGGAAAGAAAGGCAGAAGAAAAAUUAUUAAAUUUCCUUACUAUCCACAGCCCAUUGACUAGUCCUUGAAACAGGCAGAGUGACCUUCCUCUAGGGAUACAACUCUUGAUGUUAAUACUUUGCUGAGGACAAAAGUCAGUCCUAGCCUGGGAUCCUGUAAGUCUACUUUAACAUACAGAAGUUCUUUUGGAAACUUCGUUUAUCUCUACCCGUCCCCCCUAGAAACAUGUUGGGAAUCAUCCUCAAGCGUAUGACCCACCGAUAUGCAUCUGAAGGGUUUCAUGACUAAGGUUUUAUCAGAUGGUAAUAAAUGACCUUUUCCCAACA
ensembl:lncRNA